UCACUGCGCGGCGGGCACAUGCUGAGCGGCGCUGCGAGGGCACCGAACCGAGCGGGCAGCUGGACGCAGACGGGUGCACGCGGCAGAGCUGAUUCUAGUCCACCCUGUGUCCAAGCAGCCCACGGUUGACUGACUCACCAGCUGAAAUUCGAGGAAGAGGAACCACAAACCCUAGACUCUAUAGAAGGAAACCUUCAUCAGAUUUCUUGAUGAACAAAGUCUAUUGAACCAGUCAAGCUUCCUGCUGAAGAGAGAGAACAGUCAUAAUGCUGAGAGCCAAGAAGAACCAGUGAAUGAUAUGCUGAAAAGCUCAGAAGGUACCAGAGGAGAUUCAUAUUCAAGUCCCAUCUCGUGUUCUCCAAACUUACUCUCUAUGAUGCCUUUCGAGAUCAAACUGAGUCUCUGUGAAAUCAUCUUACACCAGAGGGACAGACCACUGCUACUUUAGGAAGAUGGCGAUGCAGGGGUAUCCCCUGCUCUUUACCACAGCAGCCAACCUCCUUUCCACAUCAGCUGUCCAAGACCCAGUCCAGUUAGUUCAAACCCAUCUUCUCACCAAAUUCCUAGGCACCUAAAGAUUCAUGGACACCUCAACAUUGGUGUCUGGUCUGUCCUUUUGUCUGAGACUCUAACUGAACUCUAGUAUGGCCUGUUGGAAAAAAGCAUCCCUAUAUGGUUGGACUGAAUCUUAUUUGGGAGAAGUUGUUUUUGUUUUUCAACCACACACAAGUACAGCUUGUUGAUGCUUUCCAAUGGGCAAUGGAAAAGUCAAGAUUUGGGUCAGCUGGCAUGCAUGCCUAGUCCAAGCUAUGGCCAUCCCCACAAGAUUCUGGCCCCUGAUGUGGUCUCCCUGCCACCGCUGCUCACUCCACACAGCAGCUGAAAUCACUGAUGACUUCUCAUCACACGUAGAAUAAAGUCCAAGCCUCUAACCCUGGCCUACGAGGCCUCCGUGAUGUGGCCCUGCCUGGCUUUCCUAACUAAUUUUGUACCACCCUCCUCUUGUCCAUCACUUUCCAGCCCUCGUUUCCUUUUGGUUUUUUGAACAUAUUAAGCUUACUUCUACCUUCAGUCUUGUUCCUCUUUGCCUGGAAUGACCCCAACGCCCUAUCAUUGCCUUUCCAGCUCCUUCCUGUCAUUUCCAUUUCUUAUUAAAAAUCACUUCUCACAAAAAUCCUUCCCUGACCACCCAAUCUGAAUUAGUAGCU